rnacentral:rRNA from 1 species
GACGAACGCUGGCGGCGUGCUUAACACAUGCAAGUCGAACGGAAAGGCCUCUUUCGGGGGGUACUCGAGUGGCGAACGGGUGAGUAACACGUGAGUAACCUGCCCUUGACUUUGGGAUAACUUCAGGAAACUGGGGCUAAUACCGGAUAGGAGCUCCUGCUGCAUGGUGGGGGUUGGAAAGUUUCGGCGGUUGGGGAUGGACUCGCGGCUUAUCAGCUAGUUGGUGGGGUAGUGGCUUACCAAGGCUUUGACGGGUAGCCGGCCUGAGAGGGUGACCGGCCACAUUGGGACUGAGAUACGGCCCAGACUCCUACGGGAGGCAGCAGUGGGGAAUAUUGCACAAUGGGUGGAAGCCUGAUGCAGCAACGCCGUGUGCGGGAUGACGGCCUUCGGGUUGUAAACCGCUUUCGCUCAUGACGAAGCUUUGUGUGACGGUAGUGGGUAAAGAAGCACCGGCUAACUACGUG